UACGUGGGGGGCUAGCGUUGUCCGGAAUCAUUGGGCGUAAAGAGCGCGUAGGCGGCUGGAAUAGUCCGGUGUGAAAUCCACAGGCUUAACCUGUGAAUGCCGCUGGAAACUGUCUGGCUAGAGUCCGGAAGGGGCGAGUGGAAUUCCUGGUGUAGCGGUGAAAUGCGCAGAUAUCAGGAGGAACACCAAUGGCGAAGGCAGCUCGCUGGGACGGUACUGACGCUGAGGCGCGAAAGCGUGGGGAGCGAACAGG
rnacentral:rRNA from 1 species